GUGAACGGGUUAACGUCCAUUUUGGCCGGGGGACCAAGGCGGGGGGAAAGGAGCGUUGGUUUGGCGGCGUGUUAUAACCCCUUGUUGUUUGCCCCGGCUGGGAUUGAAGAACGCCGCCCGCCCUUUUUUGUGGCCGGGGGUUCGCUUUACCUUCCCGGCUUAAGACGGUGGCCUUAAUGCUUUAAACGAACCGUCCUGGAACCCGGACCCAGGAGUUUUACCAGCCUGCGAAUUUUUGGGUGGAAAACCCCUGCGCCUUAAGAAGGUGAAAAGUUUGGAGCCCCUCGAGGGGGGGGUGCACUGACGCCCGGCCCUGAAGUUCUCUGACGGCGCUGCGGCAGAGCAAGCAUGUUGGGACCCGAAAGAUGGUGAACUAUGCCUGAAUAGGGCGAAGCCAGAGGAAACUCUGGUGGAGGCUCGUAGCGAUUCUGACGUGCAAAUCGAUCGUCAA
rnacentral:rRNA from 1 species